rnacentral:rRNA from 1 species
GACGAACGCUGGCGGCGUGCUUAACACAUGCAAGUCGAACGGAAAGGCCCUGCUUUUGUGGGGUGCUCGAGUGGCGAACGGGUGAGUAACACGUGAGUAACCUGCCCUUGACUUUGGGAUAACUUCAGGAAACUGGGGCUAAUACCGGAUAGGAGCUCCUGCUGCAUGGUGGGGGUUGGAAAGUUUCGGCGGUUGGGGAUGGACUCGCGGCUUAUCAGCUUGUUGGUGGGGUAGUGGCUUACCAAGGCUUUGACGGGUAGCCGGCCUGAGAGGGUGACCGGCCACAUUGGGACUGAGAUACGGCCCAGACUCCUACGGGAGGCAGCAGUGGGGAAUAUUGCACAGUGGGCGGAAGCCUGAGGCAGCAACGCCGCGUGCGGGAUGACGGCUUUCGGGUUGUAAACCGAUUUCGCCUGUGACGAAGCGUGAGUGACGGUAAUGGGUAAAGAAGCACCGGCUAACUACGUG